rnacentral:rRNA from 1 species
UAUGAAGGCCAGGCUGAAGACUUUGCCGGAUUAGCUGAGAGGUGGUGCAUGGCCGUCGUCAGUUCGUACUGUGAAGCAUCCUGUUAAGUCAGGCAACGAGCGAGACCCACGCCCACAGUUGCCAGCGUACUCUCUGGGGGUGACGGGUACACUGUGGGGACCGCCGCUGCUAAAGCGGAGGAAGGAAUGGGCAACGGUAGGUCAGUAUGCCCCGAAUAUCCCGGGCUACACGCGAGCUACAAUGGUUGGUACAAUGGGUAUCUACCCCGAAAGGGGACGGGAAUCUCCUAAAACCAAUCUUAGUUCGGAUUGAGGGCUGCAACUCGCCCUCAUGAAGCUGGAAUCCGUAGUAAUCGCGUUUCAACAGAACGCGGUGAAUACGUCCCUGCUCCUU